GGGUCUCACCUCAGUCAUGGUAUUGGAGGUGGAGAGAGCGCUGGUUAUUCACUCCCCCCCACGACAAUUCCUGCCGGACCUGAGACUCGACCCUGCGACCUUCAGUCUACAAGUCCGACUCUCUAUCCAUUUUUCUUUAUUUUAUUAUGUAUUUUUUUCUUAUUGUUUCUUCUUAUGUUGUGCUGAGUAGUGUUGUUGUGUGCUGUGUGUUUCCUCCAGUCCUGCUCUAUCAGCCUGAGAUUCCCUGCCUGUUAGUUCCCCAUGGUGGUCUGCCAACCAAGCCUGGUGCUGAGAAUGUUUUAUGUAUUAAAGACUUUUCACUGGAAUUCAUCUACGUUGUGCACUUUAUCUAUAGCUCUACAGCAGGGAUCUAUAACCUUGCUCCUGGAGAGCUACCGUUCCUGCCGAUUUCAGCUACAACCCCAAUCAAAAAAACCACAACCAGCUAAUCAAGGUGUUCAGGGUUACUUGAUAUUUAUAAGCAACAGUGUUAAUUUUGUUGAUGAAUAAUUUUCAUCAUGAUUUUCAUCAAUGACGUUUUUCACAGACAAAAAUGAGAUGAUAGUGAAAUAAAAACUGAAAUAAAAAGCUAAAUCAAAAUUUGCUGUCAAAAUUAACACUGACAGGUAGGUGUGUUGGAGCAGGGUUGCAACUGAAGUUUGCAGUACGUUACCUCUCUAGGAGCAGGGUUGGAUGUCCCUGAUCUAUAGCCACAAUUCCAUAGUCACCAAUAAUUUUCUUUCUAUCCCAAUGCAUGCCUGGAGUCACCUUCUCUAGGUGGCUACCAUGUGUUUCUCACUUGACAAAGUCUUUCAGAUUAAACCAUGUUGAUAUAAACAAGCUUCAGAUUAACUUGCAUCAAACUCUGACAUUCUCUAAAGGUCUUUAACUUAUGUUGUGCACCAUAUCACACACAAACACUAAGGUAGCAUUUAGCAUUUAUAUUUAUUAUUAGAUGAGUUCAUUAGAUAAUCUUUCUUUUUUCUUCUUAUUAUUUUAUUGUUUGUUUUCAUCAGUGCCAGCAAUGCCACCAACAAUUACUACUACAUCUACGACUGCUGCCACCACUACUAUUACUGAUACUACUUCUACUACUACUACUGUUGCUGUUCCUCCUCUUACUACUACUGCUGCUACUACUCAUACUACUUCUACAAUUACUACUACUACUACUGCUACUCCUAAUACCACUACUGUUGCUGUUCCUCUUACUUCUACUGCCGCUACUACUCCUACCACAACUACUACUACUGCUGCUACUACUCCUCCUCCUCCUACUGCUGCUACUACUCCUAAUACUACUACUGUUGCUGUUCCUCCUACUACUUCUACUACUACUGCUGCUACUACCCUUACUCCUUCUACAACAACCACUACAGCUGCUACUAGUCCUCCUCUUUCCACUACUACUACUACUACUGUUGCUGUUCCUCCUACUAGUGGUACUACUCCUACUCCUUCUACAACAACUACUACUGCUGCUACUAGUCCUUCUCUUUCUAUUAUAACAGCUGCUACUUCUACUCCUACUACUACUGUGGCUGUUCCUCCUCCUACUGCUGCUACUACUCCUAUUCCUUCUACAACAACUAAUACUCCUAAUACUACUACUUUUGCUGUUUCUUCUCCUGCUACUACUAUUGCUACUACUCCUACUACAACUACUACUACUGCUGCUACUCCUCCUCCACUUUCCACAACAACAACUACUACUGCUACUAAUAAUACUACUACUGUUGCUGUUCCUCCUACAACAACUACUACUACUACUGCUGCUGCUACUACUCUGUCACAUUCUACAACUAGUAGAGCUGCUGCUACUACUCCUCCUCUUUCCACCACAACAAUUACUACUCCUAAUACUACUACUGUUGCUGUUCCUCCUCCUCCUAUCACUACUGCUACUACUCCUACUCCUUCUACUACAACUACUAAUCCUAAUACUACUAAAGUUGCUGUUCUUCCUCCUCCUCCUUCUGCUGCCACUACUCCUCCUCUUUUCACUACUGCUACUCCUCCUAGUACUACUACUGUUGCUGUUCCUCCUCCUCCUACUACUGCUACUACUCCUACUACUUCUACUACAACUACUAAUCCUAAUACUACUACUGUUGCUGUUUCUCCUCCCAUCACUACUGCUACUACUCCUACUCCUUCUACUACAACUCAUAAUUCUAAUACUACUAAAGUUGCUGUUCAUCCUCCUCCUCCCACUGCUGCUACUACUCCUCCUCUUUCCACUACUGCUACUCCUCCUAAUACUACUGAUGUUACUGUGCCUCCUCUUUCUACUUCUACAACUGCCAACACAACUUCUACUGCUACUUCUCCUCCUCCUACUACUACUGCUGCUGUUCCUCCUCCUACUACUGCUGCUACUACUGCAAUCACUUCUCCUACUACAACUGCUACUACUAUUAGUGCAGCUCCUCCUCCUACUACUGUGGCUGUUGUUCCUCCUCCUCCUCCUCCUCCUCCUACUACUACUACUCCUACUACUAUAACUACUACUACUCCUGCUACUACUUCUCCUCUUCCCACUACUACUGCUGCUACUUCACCUACUACAACUGCUACUACUACUACUGAUAUUACUUCUCCUACUACAACUGCUACUACUAUUGCUGCAGCUACUCCUCCUCCUUCUACUACUGUCGCUUUUCCUCCUCCUCCUACUGCUACAACUAUUGCUGCCACUACUUCUCCUCUUCCCACAACAACUGCUGCUACUUCUCCUACUGCAACUGCUACUACUACUGCAGCUACUACUCCUCCUACUACUGCUACUACUACAACUACGACUGCUACUUCUCCUCCUACUACUUCUGUUGCUGUUCCUCCUCCUUCUCCUACUACUACUUUUCCUACUACUACUACUACUACUACUACUACUACUGCUACUUCUCUUACUACUACUGG
ensembl:lncRNA